AACGAACGCUGGCGGCAUGCCUAACACAUGCAAGUCGAACGAGACCUUCGGGUCUAGUGGCGCACGGGUGCGUAACGCGUGGGAACCUGCCCUUAGGUUCGGAAUAACUCCCCGAAAGGGGUGCUAAUACCGGAUAAUGUCUUCGGACCAAAGAUUUAUCGCCUUUGGAUGGGCCCGCGUUGGAUUAGCUAGUUGGUAGGGUAAAAGCCUACCAAGGCGACGAUCCAUAGCUGGUCUGAGAGGAUGAUCAGCCACACUGGGACUGAGACACGGCCCAGACUCCUACGGGAAGCAGCAGUGGGGAAUAUUGGACAAUGGGCGAAAGCCUGAUCCAGCAAUGCCACGUGAGUGAUGAAGGCCUUAGGGUUGUAAAGCUCUUUUACCCGGGAUGAUAAUGACAGUACCGGGAGAAUAAGCUCCGGCUAACUCCGUG
rnacentral:rRNA from 1 species